GGGGGUAUAGCUCAGUGGUAGAGCAAUCGACUGCAGAUCGAUAGGUCCAUGGUUCAACUCCGUGUGCCCCCU
rnacentral:tRNA from 1 species